rnacentral:rRNA from 1 species
CCUGGGCCUAUCCCCGUUUGCGGACAGGGCAAUGUGGUGUUUAGGCUUGCACCUGGGCCCGCUCGUUUACUCGAAGUCCAACUCCGAAUAUGGCAUUGGAUUUGUACCAUAGAGGGUGAUAGUCCCGUACGAGUAAACACUGGAGCAUCAGAGCGGUGCCUUAGAUGUGCUUGCCUUUGAGUCGGAUUGCUUGAGAAUGCAGUCCAAAGUGGGUGGUAAACUCCAUCCAAGGCUAAAUACUGGCGCGAAUCCGAUAGUAGACAAGUACCGUGAGGGAAAGUUGAAAAGUACUCUGAAGAGAGAGUAAAUAGUACGUGAAGCCGUCUGUAGAGAAGCUGAUGGAGUCAAGCUUCGUGCCCUGAUGAUUAGCAACAAGAUUAUGUGUUGUAUUUGCCCCUCUCAGUAGUCUAUCUGGAAAUGUUUGGAUGGAUUAACCUCUAUCACGAACCUUCUGGUCAGUGGAGUUUGUGCUGCUGAAUAAUGGGGUUUGAUCUUGUGCUCUAUCUAGGGGCAGCCAUCAUGGUUGAUAUUCUCUUGGUACGUGUUUAUUUAACUGUAUUCAUGCGGGUCAAAAGCUUGCUGAGUACAGGAUGGCAGGUGGUGGCAUCUCUGCUUGCAGUUUUGUCACUUAUAAUGGUUUAGGCCUGCCAAUAUUGACGUUCGUCAUCACCAUUGAGUAAUAUACAUUUAAAUUCA